UACUAGAAACGCGCCAAUAUUAAGUGUUGGCCUGAUACGUCCUUCCACCGCGUCGGAAAUCGCCUUUGGCAACAACGGAGACCCAAACAACAUGCCACAAUAACCGUUUCAACUCGUCGGUUCUCAUUCUAAUCACGGAUGUCACCAAUUCUUUGCCCAUUUCACGAAUCGGGGAAGACAAGAGUGAAAAUCCUAGGUCUCAACUCCUCAAUUAAAGGCCAAAGGAUAAGGAAAGGGAGCUCAAACCAUAUGGGUUUGACUCCUCGCAUUAAGAUUCACAUCACAGUAAUGAGAAAAGAGAAAGAAAAAGGGUUUUCACCAACCUUCAAAGUGGAGGAUUGCUUCGAUGCUCGUUGGAGUUGGAGAAGACGAAGCUCAAGAAAAUACCAGAGGAAUGCGAUUAUCCAGAUACAAUGAUUCGAAUAUUUGCCUUGUGUAUCUCUUUCUUCCUUCGACUUCUUCUUGUUCUUACCAGUGAGUGGGAGUGAGGUUUAGCUCGACCGGAUUGAAGCUUCGAGUUGAAGCUUCAAUGGUGAUUGAGUAUUAGCUCUGAGUGAGGGUUGAGAGAUUUAGGAUGAUGAAGAGGUUUGAGAUUUUGGUAUUGUGAUUAAAAUCCUUUGGAUGUCAGUGUGGGGUUUGAUUUAUAGGGCUCACAACUUGUAACAGAACGUGGCAGAGUCGGGAAGAGUUUGUUGAAGGUUAGGGCAGUGGUCAGGGUUAGUUGAAUUAAUGAGUUGCAUCAUGUUCAUGGUGAUGAUGAUGAUGGUCAAGGCUUGAUGGAGGUUUCUACAGGUCAUGAUGUAGGGCAUGACUGUAGGUUCAAGGCAGAUGUGUAUUGAUGCAGCAAGUCAUGGUGAGGUUGCAACAGGCCAAUGGUCAUGGUUGGUGAGAUCCUGUUUUGGAUUGGAUGCAGGAUGGUGAUGACAUUAAUGCCAGUUAUUUUUCUUGCUUAUGACUACAUUCUCCUUAAUCUUCUAUGUAAUGUAAAAAGGUUUAAUAUUUACUUUGCAACUUGGUGUCAUCGUGUAACAUUCCUUGUGGACAACCCCCUCCAUUUGAACUCAAUGCAUUGAAAUACCUUGAUAUUGAUUUACAGGUACUGUUCUGUCUUGUGCAAUAGGGUGGACAUUGCCAUUCUGACUUUGGUUUGACGUUGGCUUAGCAAUGCUUGUUUGGUUGCUUAUUUCCUGUUGUGUAAAGACUUAUGUCCCUUUGAUUGUUUUACCAUGAACAUAAGUGAACCAUGCCAAAACCUUUUGCCCAGUCAGAACUAUCCUACUAAUUGCCAUUAGAUCAAAGCUAGUAAUUAACAUAAUUAAUGAGAUACAUGUAUAUUCAUUCGCUUAUCUUCUGAUCUUUGUAAUCCUGACUUAGUAUAAUAUGCUAAGUGUUAUGACUUGGUUUUUUCCAUGCCCAUGUAUUGUUCAUGGCCUUGCCUUGCACCAGGUAUGCAAUCAGUUCUGGCACAUUAUGCCUCAAAGACCAACACAGUGUACUGCCAAGGCUUACAAUAGGUGACCACAGUUCAACAUUGUUUUGGAUUGGUCUGUCAUGAGCCAUAUUCCUAUUUUGCAGCAUGACAUCAUGGUUCUGUAGUAGGAUGACACAUGAGUGUUGCUUGUUCCUGGAAGAUUUGCAUUGUUCAUUUUGUUAUUGGUCAUGUCUAUAUGGAGUGUGGUUAGACAAGGCAAUAAGACAUCAAACUUGGCAUUUGGAUUAUCAUGUGCAAAAGGCAAAUUCCAUGACCAAAGAUUCAAAGAUUCAAGAUUAGGAAUGUAGUUAGGAUAUGGAUUUAGAUUUUAGGACUUUUGGAAGAAAAAGGUUGAGUUGACUUUGGUCAAAGUUGACUAAAAAGUCAAUUGUUGACCAAAGUCAACCCUUGGUCAAAGUUGUAAAAAAAUGUAUUUUUCAUGUAAUGACUAAUGUGAUGAAUUGUAAUGGACUGAAAGAAAUUAGUUUGAAAUGGAUUAAAAAUGGAUUAAAAAUGGUUUGAAAAUGGUUUUAAAA